rnacentral:rRNA from 1 species
GAUGAACGCUGGCGGCGUGCCUAAUACAUGCAAGUCGAGCGAACAGACGAGGAGCUUGCUCCUCUGACGUUAGCGGCGGACGGGUGAGUAACACGUGGAUAACCUACCUAUAAGACUGGGAUAACUUCGGGAAACCGGAGCUAAUCCCGGAUAAUAUAUUGAACCGCAUGGUUCAAUAGUGAAAGACGGUUUUGCUGUCACGUAUAGAUGGAUCCGCGCCGCAUUAGCUAGUUGGUAAGGUAAAGGCUUACCAAGGCAACGAUGCGUAGCCGACCUGAGAGAGUGAUCGGCCACACUGGAACUGAGACACGGUCCAGACGCCUACGGGAGGCAGCAGUAGGGAAUCUUCCGCAAUGGGCGAAAGCCUGACGGAGCAACGCCGCGUGAGUUAUGAAGGUCUUCGGAUCGUAAAACUCUGUUAUUAGGGAAGAACAAAUGUGUAAGUAACUAUGCACGUCUUGACGGUACCUAAUCAGAAAGCCACGGCUAACUACGUG